rnacentral:rRNA from 1 species
AGCGGAGUUUUGAAAAGCUUGCUUUUCAAAACUUAGCGGCGGACGGGUGAGUAACACGUGGGCAACCUGCCCUUGAGACGGGGAUAACUCCGGGAAACCGGAGCUAAUACCGGAUAACACAUAUCUUCGCAUGAGGAUAUGUUAGAAGGUGGCUUUUAGCUACCACUCAAGGAUGGGCCCGCGGCGCAUUAGCUAGUUGGUGAGGUAACGGCUCACCAAGGCGACGAUGCGUAGCCGACCUGAGAGGGUGAUCGGCCACACUGGGACUGAGACACGGCCCAGACUCCUACGGGAGGCAGCAGUAGGGAAUCUUCCGCAAUGGACGAAAGUCUGACGGAGCAACGCCGCGUGAGUGAUGAAGGUUUUCGGAUCGUAAAGCUCUGUUGUUAGGGAAGAACAAGUACCUGUUGAAUAAGCAGGUACCUUGACGGUACCUAACCAGAAAGCCACGGCUAACUACGUGCCAGCAGCCGCGGUAAUACGUAGGUGGCAAGCGUUGUCCGGAAUUAUUGGGCGUAAAGCGCGCGCAGGCGGUUCCUUAAGUCUGAUGUGAAAGCCCACGGCUCAACCGUGGAGGGUCAUUGGUAAACUGGGGAACUUGAGUGCAGAAGAGGAGAGCGGGAAUUCCACGUGUAGCGGUGAAAUGCGUAGAGAUGUGGAGGAACACCAGUGGCGAAGGCGGCUCUCUGGUCUGUAACUGA